AUUGACGCAGUUUUCAGCAUCAAAUUUCUGCACCUAUUCUGCAUAUUUUCUUACGAACAAGAUAGAGUCUUUCCCGUCGUUCGUGUUACGUCUCGUAUUUUUAUACAUUGGAACAACCCGGAUUAACUAUGAUAAUUUAAGGCCAAGAUUAUUCCGGGAUUUGAAGUCGGGACUUUGGACCAUUUGAUUUUAUUUUGAGACAUAAGUUAUAUAUGAAAUUGUUGGUAUUGAACACUUAGGAAAAAUUGGGACCACAAUUCAUAAAAUUGGAAUUAAAAAUGUUGUGCAAUAAUUGACCCUUUUAGCCGUGUGGUCCAUUAAAUGGUCCCACACCUUGUGUGGCCAAUUUUAAUUGGUCCAACACAUGUGUGGGCCCAAGGACACAUGGAGGAAUUUUGUGGAGGUAAAAAGAGGACUUCUAAGUCAUCUUUGUCACUUUCAACACUUAGUAAAAUAUCAAGAAAAUUGAAGGCCAUCACCAAGCACCUCACGGCCAAGAACAAAGGAAAACCAAAUCAAAUUCAAGCCACUCCAAAAUUAUUUCCUUGAUACAAACCCACUAUAUUGAAGCCCCUAAGUAGCGUGAAAGUAUUGUUUGGGUCAUCCAACCAACCAUUAUGUCAAUUAGCAAACCCUAACUAUUUGGUGGAUUGAAGAAGAAAGAUCGUGGGCAGCCCGAAUCAUAGUUUGGACUUAGCUUGAGUUGGAUCAUAUUGGAGAGCGUUUGAGGUACAAACGCACAGCCUGGUGAUCCACCUGUUUAGGACACCCUUUCUGCUAUUCGGAGUGCUCCUCUCUUUCCGGAGCUUAUACUUUUGGUAUAUAUAUUUAUUAGUGCAUUUGUAUAUAUUCGUUCAUGGGUACGGCGGGGCCCUAUCCCGUCAUAUGAUUCUGUCGGUCUGUUUAGAGGUCUGUGGACAUGUUUGUGGGUUAGGGUUUUUCUGUAUGGAUGUAUGUACAUGUCGUUUGGGCGAUCCCAUACGCCGAGGCGGCCGGUCCGCAUAUGUUGUUUGGGCGAUCCUAUACGCCGAGGUGGCCGGUCCGCAUAUGUUUAUAUAUUGCUUGGUUAGCCCUGUGUGGCUUUUGUUGGUAUUUUCUGCGUGCAGGGUAUAUUGGAUAGUCCGUAAAACAAAGGAAACUCUGCCGAAAUUUUCUGGAAAUUACCUAAAUUUGAAAUAAAGUCUUGUCGGCUUCCGCCAUAUACUAGAAUGAGUUGAUAGAAUCUGAGAUAAUAUUUGAUAGAUGGGUUCGGGUGCCCAGAUCGGGCACUAGUCACGGCCUACGGGGUUGGGUCGUGACAGUUCGUGACUGUCUUCAAGUUCGACGAAGUUAUUAACGUUUGACUUACAUCUACUCCAUUAACAGGUAUAACUGUUCUGUCCUAUAACUGUUCUAUCCUAGUAGGAAGUAAUCCAACAUUCGAGUACAGUGAGGGGGAUUAAAUUCUUUAGGGAGACACACAACAAAUUUUGUGGGCUCAGAUAAUCAAUUAACGUUUCUGUUUUUCUCGUUUAAUUGUUUUCCAGAUUAUUUCGUAUAUUAUGGUUUACUGUUUUGAACACACGAGACUAACACUAACUUUAUACUGAUGAAGUGACUUCCUUAUUCUUGUUAUUUUCUUUAUUUAAAAGGGAUGACAUCUUCAUUGGAGUAAAUGAAGAAUUCAAUAGAACUCAAGAAGCACCAACUGUUGAAUUCUUUAUCAUUGACCAUGCCAAAGUCAUGAAAUAAACACAUGGAAUCAUCAACUAAUCCAUCUAUCUUAAAAACAAUAAUAAUAAUAAUAAUAAUAAUAAUAAUAAUAAUAAUAAUAAUAAUAAUAAUAAUAAUAAUAAUAGAUAAAAAGUUCCAGACCAUGUCUCCAGGCUCCAGCAAAGAAUGAAUAAU